rnacentral:rRNA from 1 species
GACGAACGCUGGCGGCGUGCUUAACACAUGCAAGUCGAACGGAAAGGCCCUGCUUUUGUGGGGUGCUCGAGUGGCGAACGGGUGAGUAACACGUGAGUAACCUGCCCUUGACUUUGGGAUAACUUCAGGAAACUGGGGCUAAUACCGGAUAGGAGCUCCUGCUGCAUGGUGGGGGUUGGAAAGUUUCGGCGGUUGGGGAUGGACUCGCGGCUUAUCAGCUUGUUGGUGGGGUAGUGGCUUACCAAGGCUUUGACGGGUAGCCGGCAUGAGAGGGUGACCGGGCACAUUGGGACGGAGAUACGGACCAGAAUCCUACGGGAGGCAGCAGUGGGGAAUAUUGCACAAUGGGCGGAAGCCUGAUGCAGCAACGCCGCGUGCGGGAUGACGGCCUUCGGGUUGUAAACCGAUUUCGCCUGUGACGAAGCGUGAGUGACGGUAAUGGGUAAAGAAGCACCGGCUAACUACGUG